ACGGGAGGCAGCAGUGGGGGAUAUUGCACAAUGGAGGAAACUCUGAUGCAGCAACGCCGCGUGAGGGAAGAAGGUCUUCGGAUUGUAAACCUUUGUUUUAGUGAAGAAAUAAAUGACGGUAGCUAAAGAGGAAGACACGGCUAACUACGUGCCAGCAGCCGCGGUAAUACGUAGGUGGCAAGCGUUGUCCGGAUUUACUGGGUGUAAAGGGUGCGCAGGCGGGACUGCAAGUUGGAUGUGAAAUACCGAGGCUUAACCACGGAGCUGCAUCCAAAACUGUUGUUCUUGAGUGGAGUAGAGGUAAGCGGAAUUCCGAGUGUAGCGGUGAAAUGCGUAGAUAUUCGGAUGAACACCAGUGGCGAAGGCGGCUUACUGGGCUCUAACUGACGCUGAGGCACGAAAGUGUGGGUAGCAAACAGGAUUAGAUACCCUGGUA
rnacentral:rRNA from 1 species